CGAGCGGCAGCUGUCAGGCCACCGAGGUCCAAGCCGCACUUGCUGCCCCAUUGAGGACGAGGAGGCAGCAGGAGCAGUGACGGUGACUCUAAGGAGCCGGAUUCCCGGCACGCAGAGCUGACCUGCCUGGCACCCGCGGCCCUCUCCUGUUUCCUUCCCAUUGUGUUGGCACCCUAAAAAGAAAGAAUAAAACAACAACAGGAAAAAAAGGAAAAUAUUUAAAUUGUGACAAAAACCCACUGGCGUUGCGCUCAGGCCCUUGCCGCAGAUGGUGGUCUUGUAGUCGCCAAAGAUCUGCCUGACUGCGCCGGUGGUGUAGAAGCCCUCAGCCAGCAGGAGGGCCCCAUAAAGGAAGAAGAAAGAGGCAGUUCCAUAGAUGACAUACUGGAAGGCAUGGAUCCCAUGUCUUUGGGACUCUGACUCCAAUUGUAGCCGGCUGGCUAGUCUGCUUUGUGGCUGACUUUGUUCAGCUGGAAGGAUCCUGGUCUCUCCAGCCUCCUUCUUCGGUCUUUUACUUUUUCUCUCUGAGUAUCUUUGUCCUCUUCUCCUGGAAUUUCGCUUUGCUGCAGAGACAUCUGGAAAUGUGGAUUGAGGGUGGAAAUAAAAUGAAGAUGUCCUG
rnacentral:lncRNA from 1 species